UGUGAAAGAAAGCCAACCAAUAGUAGGUUUUCCUUUUGUUUAGCUAAUUUUCACAGUUGAUUUUAGUUUUCUCAAACAAUUGUGUAAUAAAAGUGAAAACAGU